rnacentral:sRNA from 1 species
GCACGUCCCCUCUCCCCGUUUUUACGGGGACAGGGUGAGGGGCAGCCAUCGGCACGAAUCUGCCCAAUUCCAAUUAUUGACUGCAUUGCAAUUUAUAAUUAAAUGCAUA